GGAAAGUGCCCCGAGCCUCACCUCAAUUCCCUUUCUAAAACCCAAAACCGUUCGUUCUCUGAGGAGUGAAAACCCGAUCACAUUUUCUGAAUGAUGCCGCUGCCGCCGGACCGCCGAACCAUCUGUGCCCGCUGGACCGUCGUCUGCCGGAAUGCUGCGGCGCCGCUCGACCGCCAGACUGACCAAUUACGAAAGCCCUCAAAUUUGUCGGUCGCCGCGGUAGGCUGCUCGCAGGACAACUGACCAAGGUCGGUCUUCCAAUUGCUCGACGACGAUAAGGUGGGAGGAUUUGGGGAUAAAUAUCGACGUAGAUGAAAAUGAUGAAGAUCGAGGUUCCAAGAUGCUAUGGGGGAAGAAGUAGAAGGACAUCGGGGUUCCUUUUCUCUUUUGGGCGAAUUCGAUCCCAUGAUCGAUUGACCAUCGAUCUCUAUUGCAUUGCAGCCACCUGCGCUCGUGAAAAUGUUGUUGCGGUGCCGUCAACAUAAAUGCAACGCAUUUAGUUUUUCAUUAUCAAUAUGGGCGAAGUGGAAAGUAAUUUACAUUACAACAGAUGCAGGUAACUUUGUCGUUGAUCAAAAAUAACGGUGGCCAGGUCGCGACGAUGAUCACAAUUCAAAAGUGAAGGUAUGUGAAAAAGAAAAUAUGUGCAUGUUGCUUGUUGCAUGGCGUUCACGUGCAAGCAAUACAGGUAACGCUUGCUUGAGUUUCCGACCAAUAUUAGCAUUAUAUGUUUGAUCUUGACAAAUUAAGUUGUCAUUAUACUAAUGGGAUUACACUUAAUUACGACUUAUUGUGCAAAAGUA